rnacentral:rRNA from 1 species
ACCCGCACAAGCGGUGGAUGAUGUGGUUAAUUCGAUGCAACGCGAAAACCUUACCCACCUUUGACAUGGCAGGAAGUAUUCAGAGAUGGAUACGUGCCCGAAAGGGAACCUGCACACAGGGUGCUGCAUGGCUGUCGUCAGCUCGUGUCGUGAGAUGUUGGGUUAAGUCCCGCAACGAGCGCAACCCUUGUCAUUAGUUGCUACGAAAGGGCACUCUAAUGAGACUGCCGGUGACAAACCGGAGGAAGGUGGGGAUGACGUCAAGUCCUCAUGGCCCUUAUGGGUAGGGCUUCACACGUCAUACAAUGGUCGGGACAGAGGGUCGCCAACCCGCGAGGGGGAGCCAAUCCCAGAAACCCGAUCGUAGACCGGAUUGCAGGCUGCAACUCGCCUGCAUGAAGUCGGAAUCGCUAGUAAUCGCGGAUCAGCAUGUCGCGGUGAAUACGUUCCCGGGUCUU